rnacentral:rRNA from 1 species
UACGAAGGGUGCAAACGUUGCUCGGAAUUAUUGGGCGUAAAGGGCGCGUAGGCGGCCUGUUAAGUCGAACGUGAAAUCCCCGGGCUCAACCCGGGAACUGCGUCCGAUACUGGCAGGCUUGAAUCCGGGAGAGGGAUGCGGAAUUCCAGGUGUAGCGGUGAAAUGCGUAGAUAUCUGGAGGAACACCGGUGGCGAAGGCGGCAUCCUGGACCGGCACUGACGCUGAGGCGCGAAAGCUAGGGGAGCAAGCGGG